UGUGGGGUGGCUUAGUAGUAAGUAUGUUUGCCUCGCACGUCUAGGGUUGGGGGUUCGAAUCCCACCUCCACCC